rnacentral:lncRNA from 10 species
UUGCUAUUGUUUUCUGCUUGACAUGAUGCUACUAAUCUCUUCUGGGACUGCUUCUGAAACCAAAAGCUGAGAAAAGAGACCAGGCUGCUGAUUCCUUCAUGCUCCCCUUGGUUUCAUCUUGUUGGUAAGAUUCAACUGGCUCAUGGUUUGUACCGGGGGAACCAAGCCCAUGGUUGGGAUCCAGGGGUCCCUCCAGUCUCCUGUUCCAUGGUCGCACACACCUUGAGGGCACCCACACGGUUUGAUCGUCUCCUUAUAUUGCUGCUGGCAGACUCGUGACGGGGUUUCUCAUUCAUCUG